rnacentral:rRNA from 1 species
UGGGGAAUAUUGCACAAUGGGCGCAAGCCUGAUGCAGCCAUGCCGCGUGUGUGAAGAAGGCCUUCGGGUUGUAAAGCACUUUCAGCGAGGAGGAAGGUGGUGAGCUUAAUACGCUCAUCAAUUGACGUUACUCGCAGAAGAAGCACCGGCUAACUCCGUGCCAGCAGCCGCGGUAAUACGGAGGGUGCAAGCGUUAAUCGGAAUUACUGGGCGUAAAGCGCACGCAGGCGGUUUGUUAAGUCAGAUGUGAAAUCCCCGGGCUCAACCUGGGAACUGCAUUUGAAACUGGCAAGCUAGAGUCUCGUAGAGGGGGGUAGAAUUCCAGGUGUAGCGGUGAAAUGCGUAGAGAUCUGGAGGAAUACCGGUGGCGAAGGCGGCCCCCUGGACGAAGACUGACGCUCAGGUGCGAAAGCGUGGGGCAGCAAACAGGAUUAGAUACCCUGGUAGUCCACGCUGUAAACGAUGUCGAUUUUGGAGGUUGUGCCCUUGAGGCGUGGCUUCCGGAGCUAACGCGUUAAAUCGACCGCCUGGGGAGUACGGCC